rnacentral:rRNA from 1 species
CACACCGCCCGUCACAUCAUGAAAGCCGUUUGUACCCGAAGUCGCCGUGUUAACCCGCAAGGGAGACAGGUGCCGAAGGUAUGAAUGGUGAUUGGGAUG